GACGAACGCUGGCGGCGUGCUUAACACAUGCAAGUCGAACGGAAAGGCCCUGCUUUUGUGGGGUGCUCGAGUGGCGAACGGGUGAGUAACACGUGAGUAACCUGCCCUUGACUUUGGGAUAACUUCAGGAAACUGGGGCUAAUACCGGAUAGGAGCUCCUGCUGCAUGUGGGGGGUUGGAAAGUUUCGGCGGUUGGGGAUGGACUCGCGGCUUAUCAGCUUGUUGGUGGGGUAGUGGCUUACCAAGGCUUUGACGGGUAGCCGGCCUGAGAGGGUGACCGGCCACAUUGGGACUGAGAUACGGCCCAGAAUGCUACGGGAGGCAGCAGGGGGGAAUAUUGCACAAUGGGCGGAAGCCUGAUGCAGCAACGCCGCGUGCGGGAUGACGGCUUUCGGGUUGUAAACCGCUUUCGCCGGUGACGAAGCGUGAGUGACGGUAAUGGGUAAAGAAGCACCGGCUAACUACGUG
rnacentral:rRNA from 1 species